rnacentral:rRNA from 1 species
AGUGAACGCUGGCGGUAGGCCUAACACAUGCAAGUCGAACGGCAGCAUAGUAAGAGCUUGCUCUUACGGGUGGCGAGUGGCGGACGGGUGAGGAAUACAUCGGAAUCUACUUUUUCGUGGGGGAUAACGUAGGGAAACUUACGCUAAUACCGCAUACGACCUACGGGUGAAAGCGGGGGAUCUUCGGACCUUGCGCGAUUGAAUGAGCCGAUGUCGGAUUAGCUAGUUGGCGGGGUAAAGGCCCACCAAGGCGACGAUCCGUAGCUGGUCUGAGAGGAUGAUCAGCCACACUGGAACUGAGACACGGUCCAGACUCCUACGGGAGGCAGCAGUGGGGAAUAUUGGACAAUGGGCGCAAGCCUGAUCCAGCCAUACCGCGUGGGUGAAGAAGGCCUUCGGGUUGUAAAGCCCUUUUGUUGGGAAAGAAAAGCAGCAGGUUAAUACCCCGCUGUUCUGACGGUACCCAAAGAAUAAGCACCGGCUAACUUCGU